GACGAACGCUGGCGGCGCGCCUAACACAUGCAAGUCGAACGGAGUCAAGAGGAGCUUGCCUUUCUUGACUUAGUGGCGAACGGGUGAGUAACGCGUGAGUAACCUGCCCUGGAGUGGGGGACAACAGUUGGAAACGACUGCUAAUACCGCAUAAGCCCACGGAUCCGCAUGGAUCUGCGGGAAAAGGAUUUAUUCGCUUCAGGAUGGACUCGCGUCCAAUUAGCUAGUUGGUGAGGUAACGGCCCACCAAGGCGACGAUUGGUAGCCGGACUGAGAGGUUGAACGGCCACAUUGGGACUGAGACACGGCCCAGACUCCUACGGGAGGCAGCAGUGGGGGAUAUUGCACAAUGGGGGAAACCCUGAUGCAGCGACGCCGCGUGGAGGAAGAAGGUUUUCGGAUUGUAAACUCCUGUCGUUAGGGACGAUAAUGACGGUACCUAACAAGAAAGCACCGGCUAACUACGUG
rnacentral:rRNA from 1 species